rnacentral:rRNA from 1 species
CCUACGGGGUGCAGCAGUGAGGAAUAUUGGUCAAUGGACGCAAGUCUGAACCAGCCAUGCCGCGUGCAGGAAGACGGCUCUAUGAGUUGUAAACUGCUUUUGUACGAGGGUAAACGCAGAUACGCGUAUCUUUCUGAAAGUAUCGUACGAAUAAGGAUCGGCUAACUCCGUGCCAGCAGCCGCGGUAAUACGGAGGAUUCAAGCGUUAUCCGGAUUUAUUGGGUUUAAAGGGUGCGUAGGCGGUCGGAUAAGUUAGAGGUGAAAUCCCGAGGCUCAACUUCGGAAUUGCCUCUGAUACUGUUCGGCUAGAGAGUAGUUGAGGUAGGCGGAAUGUAUGGUGUAGCGGUGAAAUGCUUAGAGAUCAUAAAGAACACCGAUUGCGAAGGCAGCUUACCAAGCUACUUCUGACGUUGAGGCACGAAAGCGUGGGGAGCAAACAGGAUUAGAUACCACAGUAGUC